rnacentral:rRNA from 1 species
UGACGCUUAACUGGUCUGAGAGGAUGAUCAGUCACACUGGAACUGAGACACGGUCCAGACUCCUACGGGAGGCAGCAGUAGGGAAUAUUGCGCAAUGGGGGAAACCCUGACGCAGCAACGCCGCGUGGAGGAUGACACUUUUCGGAGCGUAAACUCCUUUUCUUAGGGAAGAAUUCUGACGGUACCUAAGGAAUAAGCACCGGCUAACUCCGUGCCAGCAGCCGCGGUAAUACGGAGGGUGCAAGCGUUACUCGGAAUCACUGGGCGUAAAGGGCGCGUAGGCGGAUUAUCAAGUCUCUUGUGAAAUCUAAUGGCUUAACCAUU